rnacentral:lncRNA from 1 species
UUUUUCCAUGCCCCUUGGCAGUCAUCAUUCCACCUGACCAUUUGAUUUCUUUUUUUUCGGCUCAGGCGUUUCUUGUAUUGUUUUUUUUUCUUUUUUUUUUGCAGGAUCGACCUCGAUUCCUCUGAUUUGCCCACAACAAGCCUCGGCAGCUCACCGGACAGCACUCCAUAAGUGCACUGACUCGGACUCAACCUCAGUCUGAGUAGUUUCGAUCUGGUCAAACAAUUUGCCCCAGAUCCACCGGAUGCCCCUCUUCUGCUUGGGACUUUGCCAUCAUGUCAUCAACAUGGCAUUUGAUUCCACAAUGAAUCAUA